GGUUGGAACCUGGUCAGCUGGGUUAGAGAGAUCGCUACAUGCCAGCCUGGCCUGAGUCUUUUCUGUCUCCCAGCCGUUAAAGGUUUUAGGACCAGGCAGGCACCCCGUGCAGGAUUUGGCUCUCUACUUCCGCUCGCCCCAGCCCUUCAUCCCUUCUAAGUCAGUGUCAGACUUUGGGGCCAGAAAGUCUGGAAAAGCCCUAAGCCUGGCUGCCCAAGUGGCGUCUAGUAGUGAGUUCUCCGGUUUGGGUGGUAUUUAAGCAAAGGCUGGAAUUCGGCGGUGGUGGAGUACACGCGAUUCCUAGACUGGGUAGUGUAACAACCUUCAAAGGCCCCUUCUAGCCCUGAAGAGUACGAUGCUGCAGUACAAUCUGGCUGGAGACCUAGCCUCCAGCAAAGACCCGCCCGGCACUUCCCACUGUUAACCGAAAACGGAGACAGGGUCAGUUUUCAAAAUCUGUGGCGUGACCCCGCCACUGAGAUGGAUCUGCAGAUGCUUCGUCCCAGUCAGGGAGGCCGUCUCGGCAUUUCCAGGUUCUUAACGCUCUUGGUUUUUACCCUCUAGGACUCAUUGCGUACACGCCCUCACCGCCGCCCAGUUUCGGUUCCUAACAAGCACGUUCCUCAUCAGCCACCCAUAAUCAAGACAAAUUUGCCAAAUAAAUCAUUGUAGAAACGCUAGUUUGGGCCUGAAAAAUUCCAGGAGCAAGAUACAAGAUUUGUCACUCCAUGAGAAUCUGGAGGGGACUCCCUUCCCAGAAACUUGACGAUGAAGUACUGGUUGUAAUUUUAGAAAGACACCCAAUCGGCUUUUUUAAAAGAUCGCCCAGGGCCCUUGUCCUGAGAGCUGGGAGCUGGUCGGAGUGACAGAGAAGCCAUGGAAGCAGCUGUGAAAGAGGAAAUAAGUGUUGAAGAUGAAGCUGUAGAUAAAAACAUUUUCAGAGACUGUAACAAGAUCGCAUUUUACAGGCGUCAGAAACAGUGGCUUUCCAAGAAGUCCACCUAUCAGGCAUUACUGGACUCAGUCACAACAGAUGAAGACAGCACCAGGUUCCAAAUCAUCAAUGAAGCAAGUAAGGUUCCUCUCCUGGCUGAAAUUUAUGGUAUAGAAGGAAACAUUUUCAGGCUUAAAAUUAAUGAAGAGACUCCUCUAAAACCCAGAUUUGAAGUUCCUGAUGUCCUCACAAGCAAGCCAAGCACUGUAAGGCUGAUUUCAUGCUCUGGGGACACAGGCAGUCUGAUAUUGGCAGAUGGAAAAGGAGACCUGAAGUGCCAUAUCACAGCAAACCCAUUCAAGGUAGACUUGGUGUCUGAAGAAGAGGUUGUGAUUAGCAUAAAUUCCCUGGGCCAAUUAUACUUUGAGCAUCUACAGAUUCUUCACAAACAAAGAGCUGCUAAAGAAAAUGAGGAGGAGACAUCAGUGGACACCUCUCAGGAAAAUCAAGAAGAUCUGGGCCUGUGGGAAGAGAAAUUUGGAAAAUUUGUGGAUAUCAAAGCUAAUGGCCCUUCUUCUAUUGGUUUGGAUUUCUCCUUGCAUGGAUUUGAGCAUCUUUAUGGGAUCCCACAACAUGCAGAAUCACACCAACUUAAAAAUACUGGUGAUGGAGAUGCUUACCGUCUUUAUAACCUGGAUGUCUAUGGAUACCAAAUAUAUGAUAAAAUGGGCAUUUAUGGUUCAGUACCUUAUCUCCUGGCCCACAAACUGGGCAGAACUAUAGGUAUUUUCUGGCUGAAUGCCUCGGAAACACUGGUGGAGAUCAAUACAGAGCCUGCAGUAGAGUACACACUGACCCAGAUGGGCCCAGUUGCUGCUAAACAAAAGGUCAGAUCUCGCACUCAUGUGCACUGGAUGUCAGAGAGUGGCAUCAUUGAUGUUUUUCUGCUGACAGGACCUACACCUUCUGAUGUCUUCAAACAGUACUCACACCUUACAGGCACACAAGCCAUGCCCCCUCUUUUCUCUUUGGGAUACCACCAGUGCCGCUGGAACUAUGAAGAUGAGCAGGAUGUAAAAGCAGUGGAUGCAGGGUUUGAUGAGCAUGACAUUCCUUAUGAUGCCAUGUGGCUGGACAUAGAGCACACUGAGGGCAAGAGGUACUUCACCUGGGACAAAAACAGAUUCCCAAAGCCCAAGAGGAUGCAAGAGCUGCUCAGGAGCAAAAAGCGUAAGCUUGUGGUCAUCAGUGAUCCCCACAUCAAGAUUGAUCCUGACUACUCAGUCUAUGUGAAGGCCAAAGAUCAGGGCUUCUUUGUGAAGAAUCAGGAAGGGGAAGACUUUGAAGGGGUGUGUUGGCCAGGUCUCUCCUCUUACCUGGAUUUCACCAAUCCCAAGGUCAGAGAGUGGUAUUCAAGUCUUUUUGCUUUCCCUGUUUAUCAGGGAUCUACGGACAUCCUCUUCCUUUGGAAUGACAUGAAUGAGCCUUCUGUCUUUAGAGGGCCAGAGCAAACCAUGCAGAAGAAUGCCAUUCAUCAUGGCAAUUGGGAGCACAGAGAGCUCCACAACAUCUACGGUUUUUAUCAUCAAAUGGCUACUGCAGAAGGACUGAUAAAACGAUCUAAAGGGAAGGAGAGACCCUUUGUUCUUACACGUUCUUUCUUUGCUGGAUCACAAAAGUAUGGUGCCGUGUGGACGGGCGACAAUACAGCAGAAUGGAGCAACUUGAAAAUUUCUAUCCCAAUGUUACUCACUCUCAGCAUUACUGGGAUCUGUUUUUGCGGAGCUGACAUAGGCGGGUUCAUUGGGAAUCCAGAGACAGAGCUGCUAGUGCGUUGGUACCAGGCCGGAGCCUACCAGCCCUUCUUCCGUGGCCAUGCCACCAUGAACACCAAGCGACGAGAGCCUUGGCUCUUUGGGGAGGAACACACCCGACUCAUCCGAGAAGCCAUCAGAGAGCGCUAUGGCCUCCUGCCAUAUUGGUAUUCUCUGUUCUACCAUGCACACGUGGCUUCCCAACCUGUCAUGAGGCCUCUGUGGGUAGAGUUCCCUGAUGAACUAAAGACUUUUGAUAUGGAAGAUGAAUACAUGCUGGGGAGUGCAUUAUUGGUUCAUCCAGUCACAGAACCAAAAGCCACCACAGUUGAUGUGUUUCUUCCAGGAUCAAAUGAGGUCUGGUAUGACUAUAAGACAUUUGCUCAUUGGGAAGGAGGGUGUACUGUAAAGAUCCCAGUGGCCUUGGACACUAUUCCAGUGUUUCAGCGAGGUGGAAGUGUGAUACCAAUAAAGACAACUGUAGGAAAAUCCACAGGCUGGAUGACUGAAUCCUCCUAUGGACUCCGGGUUGCUCUAAGCACUAAGGGUUCUUCAGUGGGUGAGUUAUAUCUUGAUGAUGGCCAUUCAUUCCAAUACCUCCACCAGAAGCAAUUUUUGCACAGGAAGUUUUCAUUCUGUUCCAGUGUUCUGAUCAAUAGUUCUGCUGACCAGAGGGGUCGUUAUCCCAGCAAGUGUGUGGUGGAAAAGAUCUUGGUCUUAGGCUUCAGGAAGGAGCCAUCUUCUGUGACUACCCACUCAUCUGAUGGUAAAGAUCAGCCUGUGGCUUUUACGUAUUGUGCCAAAACAUCCACCCUGAGCCUGGAGAAGCUCUCACUCAACAUUGCCACUGACUGGGAGGAAAUUUGCGAGAAUCCCCGAUUUAUCAUUGAUGGAGCCAACAGAACUGACAUCUGUCAAGGAGAGCUAGGGGACUGCUGGUUUCUCGCAGCCAUUGCCUGCCUGACCCUGAACCAGCACCUUCUUUUCCGAGUCAUACCCCAUGAUCAAAGUUUCAUCGAAAACUACGCAGGGAUCUUCCACUUCCAGUUCUGGCGCUAUGGAGAGUGGGUGGACGUGGUUAUUGAUGACUGCCUGCCAACGUACAACAAUCAACUGGUUUUCACCAAGUCCAACCACCGCAAUGAGUUCUGGAGCGCUCUGCUGGAGAAGGCUUAUGCUAAGCUCCAUGGUUCCUACGAAGCUCUGAAAGGUGGGAACACCACAGAGGCCAUGGAGGACUUCACAGGAGGGGUGACAGAGUUUUUUGAGAUCAGGGAUGCUCCUAGUGACAUGUACAAGAUCAUGAAGAAAGCCAUCGAGAGAGGCUCCCUCAUGGGCUGCUCCAUUGAUGAUGGCACAAACAUGACCUAUGGAACCUCUCCUUCUGGUCUGAACAUGGGGGAGUUGAUUGCACGGAUGAUGAGGAAUAUGGAUAACUCGCUGCUCCAGGACUCAGACCUCGACCCCAGAGGCUCAGAUGAAAGACCGACCCGGACAAUCAUUCCGGUACAGUAUGAGACAAGAAUGGCCUGCGGGCUGGUCAGAGGUCACGCCUACUCUGUCACGGGGCUGGAUGAGGUCCUGUUCAAAGGUGAGAAAGUGAAGCUGGUGCGGCUGCGGAAUCCCUGGGGCCAGGUGGAGUGGAACGGUUCUUGGAGUGAUAGAUGGAAGGACUGGAGCUUUGUGGACAAAGAUGAGAAGGCCCGUCUGCAGCACCAGGUCACUGAGGAUGGAGAGUUCUGGAUGUCCUAUGAGGAUUUCAUCUACCAUUUCACAAAGUUGGAGAUCUGCAACCUCACGGCCGAUGCUCUGCAGUCUGACAAGCUUCAGACCUGGACAGUGUCUGUGAACGAGGGCCGCUGGGUACGGGGUUGCUCUGCCGGAGGCUGCCGCAACUUCCCAGAUACUUUCUGGACCAACCCUCAGUACCGUCUGAAGCUCCUGGAGGAGGACGAUGACCCUGAUGACUCGGAGGUGAUUUGCAGCUUCCUGGUGGCCCUGAUGCAGAAGAACCGGCGGAAGGACCGGAAGCUAGGGGCCAGUCUCUUCACCAUUGGCUUCGCCAUCUACGAGGUUCCCAAAGAGAUGCAUGGGAACAAGCAGCACCUGCAGAAGGACUUCUUCCUGUACAACGCCUCCAAGGCCAGGAGCAAAACCUACAUCAACAUGCGGGAGGUGUCCCAGCGCUUCCGCCUGCCUCCCAGCGAGUACGUCAUCGUGCCCUCCACCUACGAGCCCCACCAGGAGGGGGAAUUCAUCCUCCGGGUCUUCUCUGAAAAGAGGAACCUCUCCGAGGAAGUUGAAAAUACCAUCUCCGUGGAUCGGCCAGUGAAAAAGAAAAAAACCAAGGUAGGUGUGUGGGUAGAGAGCAUGAAGUGUGUGUACUCAUGCAUAUGUGUGUAUGUGCAUGCGUGUGAAGUGUGCAUGUGUGAGCUCAUAUGCAUCCAUGCACCAGACUUGCCUCUUCCUCCCCCUCCUUCCCUGAGCUUCUGCUGGGGCCGAGCGUGCAGUAAUGACAACUACAAUAUGCUGGGGGAAGGCUACGUGCCAAGCACUCUUUUAGGUGCUUUCCAUGAUUAAUUCCUUCCUCACAACAGUCCUAUGAGAUUAGUACUAUAACUAUCCCCAUUUUCAGAGGGAGAAAAGGUACAGACUUGACUAACUUGCCCAAGGCCACACAGCUAGGGAGGGGCAGAGCCAGUACUUAGAGCCAGGCAGUGUGGGUCCAGAGUCCGUGUCCUGAACCACAAGAGGCCAUCAUACACCAUCAGAUUUGGUGCUAGCAUUUCUGGUGGUGCCUGGUGGUGAUGGAUCCAUCACAGGGGUCCUCCAGGUACUGGUGCUGGCCCAGACCAGAGCUGACACUCAUCAGGCACUACCACAUUCCAGGCACUGUGCUUGGGGUCAAUCCCUCUCUUUCCCCCCCGCCAAUUAUAACAGUAUCUACAAAGUAGGUGCUGUUAUUUUUCCCCUUUCACAGGUGAGAUAGACUCAAAGAAGUGAACUUGCCCAAGGAACAGAACUAAUGAGUGGGGAAAAUGGAACUGGAAACCAUGUCUGUUUACUCCAAAACCUGUGUUUCUUGCCCUCUUUCUCUGGUGCCAGCCCCUACACUUCAAGGCCUGUGUUGUCCAGACCCACACUCGGGCCUGCCAGUGUGUGCCUGGCAGGGAUGCUCCAUGGCCACACCAUAUCCAUCCUACACAUCCCCCCUCAGACUGUGACCUCCAUUUGCUCUGGGAUCCCCACAAGCUUCAGCUGCUUGAGCAAGACACUGCUUAGAAGGCAGAGCAAGCCAAGGCCUCUGGGGCCUGCUGGGAGCCAAAGCUGGGGAGCCGUUUCCACGGGUCUAUCUGCUUGAGCUGUCCUAGAUGAGCAGCAUGGAAGGGCAGUGGUGCCUGAGUCCAGCCCAUCAUCUUCGUUUCAGACAGAGCAAACAGCAACAAGGAGCUGGGUGUGGACCAGGAGUCAGAGGAGGGCAAAGGCAAAACAAGCCCUGAUAAGCAAAAGCAGUCCCCACAGCCACAACCUGGCAGCUCUGACCAGGAAAGUGAGGAACAGCAACAAUUCCGGAACAUUUUCAAGCAGAUAGCAGGAGAUGACAUGGAGAUCUGUGCAGAUGAGCUCAAGAAGGUCCUUAACACAGUCGUGAACAAACACAAGGACCUGAAGACACACGGGUUCACACUGGAGUCCUGCCGUAGCAUGAUUGCGCUCAUGGAUACAGAUGGCUCUGGAAAGCUCAACCUGCAGGAGUUCCACCACCUCUGGAACAAGAUUAAGGCCUGGCAGAAAAUUUUCAAACAUUAUGACACAGACCAGUCCGGCACCAUCAACAGCUACGAGAUGCGAAAUGCAGUCAACGACGCAGGAUUCCACCUCAACAACCAGCUCUAUGACAUCAUUACCAUGCGGUACGCAGACAAACACAUGAACAUCGACUUCGACAGUUUCAUCUGCUGCUUCGUUAGGCUGGAGGGCAUGUUCAGAGCUUUUCAUGCAUUUGACAAGGAUGGAGAUGGUAUCAUCAAGCUCAACGUUCUGGAGUGGCUGCAGCUCACCAUGUAUGCCUGAACCAGGCUGGCCUCAUCCAAAGCCAUGCAGGAUCACUCAGGAUUUCAGUUUCACCUUCUAUUUCCAAAGCCACUUACCUCAAAGGACCCAGCAGCUACACCCCUACAGGCUUCCAGGCACCUCAUCAGUCAUGUUCCUCCUCCAUUUUACCCCCUACCCAUCCUUGAUCGGUCAUGCCUAGCCUGACCCUUUAGUAAAGCAAUGAGGUAGGAAGAACAAACCCUUGUCCCUUUGCCAUGUGGAGGAAAGUGCCUGCCUCUGGUCCGAGCCGCCUCGGUUCUGAAGCGAGUGCUCCUGCUUACCUUGCUCUAGGCUGUCUGCAGAAGCACCUGCCGGUGGCACUCAGCACCUCCUUGUGCUAGAGCCCUCCAUCACCUUCACGCUGUCCCACCAUGGGCCAGGAACCAAACCAGCACUGGGUUCUACCUCGUUAUUAUUUUAGGAGAGGCCUGCUGUGGGGUAAACUAACUCAGUGGAAUAGGGCUGGUUACCUUGGGCUGUCCAACUCAUAAGUUUGGCUGCAUUUUGAAAAAAGCUGAUCUAAAUAAAGGCAUGUGUAUGGCUGGUC